CCUACGGGCGGCAGCAGUGGGGAAUAUUGGGCAAUGGGCGCAAGCCUGACCCAGCAACGCCGCGUGAAGGAAGAAGGCCUUCGGGUUGUAAACUUCUUUUGGCAGGGAAGAGUAGAAGACGGUACCUGACGAAUAAGCUACGGCUAACUACGUGCCAGCAGCCGCGGUAAUACGGAGGGGGCAAGCGUUGUCCGGAGUUACUGGGUGUAAAGGGCGUGUAGCCGGGUUGACAAGUCAGAUGUGAAAUCCUGCGGCUUAACCGGAGAACUGCAUUUGAAACUGUUGAUCUUGAGUACUGGAGAGGCAGACGGAAUUCCUGGUGUAGCGGUGAAAUGCGUAGAUAUUAGGAGGAACACCAGUGGCGAAGGCGGUCUGCUGGACAGCAACUGACGGUGAGGCGCGAAAGCGUGGGGAGCAAACAGGAUUAGAUACCCGGGUAGUC
rnacentral:rRNA from 1 species